GAUGAACGCUGGCGGCGUGCCUAAUACAUGCAAGUCGAGCGAACAGACGAGGAGCUUGCUCCUCUGACGUUAGCGGCGGACGGGUGAGUAACACGGGGAUAACCUACCUAUAAGACUGGGAUAACUUCGGGAAACCGGAGCUAAUACCGGAUAAUAUAUUGAACCUCAUGGUUCAAUAGUGAAAUACGGUUUUGCUGUCACUUAUAGAUGGAUCCGCGCCGCAUUAGCUAGUUGGUAAGGUAACGGCUCACCAAGGCAACGAUGCGUAGCCGACCUGAGAGAGUGAUCGGCCACCCUGGAACUGAGACACGGUCCAGACUCCUACGGGAGGCAGCAGUAGGGAAUCGUCCGCAAUGGGCGAAAGCCUGACGGAGCAACGGCGCGUGAGUGAUGAAGGUCUUCGGAUCGUAAAACUCUGUUAUUAGGGAAGAACAAAUGUGUAAGUAACUAUGCACGUCUUGACGGUACCUAAUCAGAAAGCCACGGCUAACUACGUG
rnacentral:rRNA from 1 species